AUUGAACGCUGGCGGCAUGCCUUACACAUGCAAGUCGAACGGUAACGCGGGGCAACCUGGCGACGAGUGGCGAACGGGUGAGUAAUGCAUCGGAACGUGUCCAGAAGUGGGGGAUAGCCCGGCGAAAGCCGGAUUAAUACCGCAUGAGACCUGAGGGUGAAAGCGGGGGAUCGCAAGACCUCGCGCUUUUGGAGCGGCCGAUGUCAGAUUAGCUAGUUGGUGGGGUAAAGGCCUACCAAGGCGACGAUCUGUAGCUGGUCUGAGAGGACGACCAGCCACACUGGGACUGAGACACGGCCCAGACUCCUACGGGAGGCAGCAGUGGGGAAUUUUGGACAAUGGGCGCAAGCCUGAUCCAGCCAUGCCGCGUGCGGGAAGAAGGCCUUCGGGUUGUAAAGCGCUUUUGUCAGGGAAGAAACGCUCUGGGCUAAUACCCUGGGGUAAUGACGGUACCUGAAGAAUAAGCACCGGCUAACUACGUG
rnacentral:rRNA from 1 species